UCCCUUCCCCAGCCAAUGCCAAAGGUUGCACCAGUGCCAAGCUUCUCCCCACUCCUUCUCCAUUUUGUUGCCGGUGUCAUUUAUGCCAGUGGGCCCAUCUAGAAGCAGCAGAGGUGAUUCAGGCUGAUGAUUGAGAAAGCUUGGACUAGGGAAGAAAAUCCCGGAAGUCUGGGUCCAGGGUGAAGCUUGCUGCUUCACUGUCAGAGGAAGGGGGGAAAUAUAGCUCUGUAUGUGCUCAUUCUCCUUAUUUCCAGCCCUGCUAUUUCUGCAGCAAGCUGCAAUUUCCACAGUAGGUUCAAUGAGAGGUUCACACAGCUGAUGCUUUCACACUGGAGUCUAGAGCAUCAUGCCUGACUCACUGCUCUCCUGCUAACCCUUUAUGGGAGAGACAGAUGAGAGGUUCCCAAAUAGUGCUGAUUAUGCACUUUCCUGUAGGGUGAAGUCUUGGCCCCACUUAUUAUAAAGGUGCUGGAAGAACAAUCCCCUGGUUUGUUUCUUGAUUCCUGCAGUCUCAGCUAUUUGUGUAAUCCCAUGCAAAUCAAAUGCUCAGUGUAACAAUGGGUCAGAGCCUAUAAAAGAAGUUAAUUAUGCAGCUUGCUUUGUUUGUAGGCAUGGAUCUCUCUGUUCCACUCCCUUCUGCCAUCAAACGGAUGGCUUUUUGGACAUUGCUUCACUACAGAGGCUGUCAUGUGCCAGAGGCUGCUCAGAGGAUCCCAGGCCAUGGCAGAAUUCCAUGGCACCUCCUGGCCUCAGGUGCAGCUCCAGAACACUUUCCCAUCAUUACUGAGGCCCUCAGGCACUUUGCUGAUCAGAAGGCUGCUGGCAGUGACACCCCUGCAGGAUCUGUGAACUCUUACUAAGGCUGAGAUCAGGCACCACCAGAAGAGCUGGGUGCCUGCACAGCCGCAGGACUUCAUUGCUGCAUGCCUGAGUGAGAUGUUAAAGGUAACUAGUAAUUGUAUCUUAGGCAGCUGCUACAUAUUUCAAAUGCUUCUAGUUAAAGUAUUUCCAGCAGCACUCCUCCUACCUCUCCUCCUUUUUUUCCGGAGAGACUGUUAAGCUAUUUCUUUAUUUGAAUUCCACCUAAAACAUGAAGUGAGUGAUGUGCUCAUGGAGUAACAUGGGAACAGAUUCAUGAAGUGCAAGGAGAUGCUGAGGGAGGGACUAUGGCCCUUAUCCUCGUUCACUGUCACUUCAGGAGUGUGCAGGCUCUUUACUGAGACAUCAUUUCCCAUUUUCUGUGCCAUUCCUCACUGUACAUGAAGGAAAAACGAUGGGGAGGUCGUCGAGCAGUCGCCACAGGAGGCAAGGUGGGAAAACCCUUUGAAGAGUGACUGUCUGAGUCCUCAAACUGUACCUACCGGUGCAAAGUUUAUUGCAUGAAUAAUUCAUAACGCUCUGACUCGGUCCACAGCGCCAGAGAUGCCACACCCAAGAUGGCGGCCCUGCCCUGAGGGACGCUUCCGACAGCUCGUUCCCUUUCCCGCCCGCCGUGCACAGUGUCGCGGCUCCGGGGGGAAACGCGGAGCUGAUGGCGGGGCCGCCGGAAGAGGCGGAAGGGUUUCGCGGGCGGACCCAGCAGGGCGGAAGUCGCUGAGGCGAACGGGGGUGGCGGCGGCAGCGAGCGACGAUG